UACGUAGGUGGCAAGCGUUGUCCGGAUUUACUGGGCGUAAAGGGCGUGCAGGCGGUUUGUUAAGUUCAGGGUGAAAGCUCCCGGCUCAACUGGGAGAGGUCCUUGGAUACUGGCAGACUUGAGGAGGGUAGAGGAGAGUGGAAUUCCCGGUGUAGUGGUGAUAUGCGUAGAUAUCGGGAGGAACACCAGUGGCGAAGGCGGCUCUCUGGGCCCUACCUGACGCUGGGACGCGAAAGCGUGGGGAGCGAACCGG
rnacentral:rRNA from 1 species